GGCCAGUUGCUUACAUGCCCAGGUCGCUGUAGGUGUUGAAGAACUCCAUCUGGUUGCACGCCUGGAUCCAGCCCACCACCCAGAAUGCCAGUGAAAUACAGCUCAUUAUUCACAGACGUGGACCCGUGACAUUCUCAAAGGGCUCGUCCAUGACCUUGGUGCGUCUCCAAGAUCAUGAAUGUCACCAUGCUCCUGCAGUAGGCUCGUCACACCUCAGAGGAAUGUCCAUCAUGCCCUGUUGCUCAGCCGAGAGCCUGCACCCAGCAGCUGCUCAGUAAACGUUUGAAGGAUUAAACGUUUCCUUCAAAAUACGAUCGGGGACAGACAGCGGUGCAGCAGUAAAACUGAUACUCUGCAAGGCUCAUCUACGUGGGAAGGUUCUGGGUUUGUAUUCGGAGACCUUCAGAAAAUGUCAGGCAGGGACCAGCAGUUAGCGUAAUGGCUAUGUCGCUGGAC